rnacentral:lncRNA from 1 species
CAACACUCCUGGCCCCCCCGGAAAGCAAUGCCACAGUUCUGGCCCCCCUAGAAAGCAACACGACGUUCCUGGCCCCCCCCGAAAGCGAAACCACGGAGCCAACACCCUUGGAAAGCAACGCAACAAUGCCUUGGGAAGUCAACACAACGCUCGUGACCCCCCCCAAAAGCAACGUCACCACCCCGACCGCCCCCACCAACAUGGCGGCCACCACGGGGACACCCCCGUCCCCUCCCAGCACCACCAGUGUCACCACUGUCACCAACAGCACUGUCUCGGCCAUGAUCUGCCUCUUCCUGCCGCACGGGUCCAGCCCUCCGGCCAUCACCUGCCUCAACGGCGGCGUCGCCAACCGCACCGAGUGCCUCUGCCCGCCCGGCUUCUCCGGCCUCACCUGCGAGAGGCCGGAUGCCGCCGCCCGCUGCGCCGCCGGCAGCACCGCUGUGGGCGACCGCUGCGUCUGCCCCCCGGGGCUGUCGGGACGCCGCUGCGACGUCCGCGACGAGGCCACCGCCUGCCAGCACGGGGGCACAGCCGUGGGCACCGAGUGCUAUUGCCCCCCGGGCUUCGAAGGUCCCCGGUGCGAGAGACAAGGUGCCACCACCACGACCGUGACCAUGACCACCACCAGCACUGCCACGCCCGCUCGCCCUACCACCAAGGCCACGCCGAGGAGCACCAGGAGAACCACCACCACCGCCAUCCCUACCACCGCAGACCCCUGCCUGAAUGGGGGGUACUGGACUGGGACCAUUUGCCUGUGUCCCCCCAACGUGGACGGAGCCCGCUGCCAGUUUGGGGCCUCGACCAUCAACAUCACAGCGGAGCUGGGUCCCAGCGUGGCGCUGAUGGCGCGCGUCACCAACCGCCGCUUCUCCGGGGACAUGGGGGACACCUCAUCCGCCGCCUUCCGCAGCUUCGCGGACGAGUUCAGCCGCAC